rnacentral:ncRNA from 1 species
GAAAAGGUGAUGAAGGGGAAGAGUAGAGCUGCCAGUACCCGUACAGAGAGCGGGGGUAAGGUGAAAGCCCUGCCGGGGAAGACAGUUUGAACAUGGCCCUGGAGCUGCCCGCUGAACGCCCUGAAGGGUUGGGAAAGGGGUCAGUAGGUGGGGCCGGGUUCAGGCACCCGUUAUCCAUGCCUGCAGUAUCGCAGCAGGGGCUUUUGUGCCUUUGCAGCCGUACUGGCCGAGGCCCCGGGCCGUGAGGCCGGGGUGAAUCUGGGUGGUACCACGGAAAGACCUCCGUCCCGGUG